AGUCAGGAACAUACAAGUUAUAACAGAAAGAUGGAUAAUGGUUAACAUCAGACCAUGACUUCCUAAACAUAUAUCUUUUGGUUUGGAGGGAAGUAAAUAUAUUGGAAGUAGGCUUUUCUAGUGAAUUAUUAAAGCUAGCCAAGAUUAUCAAUACUAUGUGGACAAAAAAAUUAUGUAGAAGAAUAUCGGCUGUCAAGUAUUCUCACAAUCCCCUUAUUCUUGGAGCAGGAGAGAAUUUGUUGGUCCUUAACCAUUAACCCCAGGGUAGAGCUUCGUUUGCAUACUCUGGGCUGAGGAUAUAGAGUUCAAUUGAAAAUACUCAACCCUUUCUAUUCAAGUGCAAUAGCAGCCAUAGACAUCAUGCAAACUAAUGGACCGAAAUUUUUGUCACUCAGUUACUACAUAUUAAAAUGGGUUACCUAUCUCAGACCUUUUCAUGUUUGCCAAAAGAGAAAAGUAAAUGGACAGUAGUUGUUAUUAAAAUGAUCUUCUAAAUUGGUUUAUUCCGCAAGAUCUUCCAAGACACUACCAUGGAAAAAAAAAAAUGAAAGCUGUCUCAGAAUUAAGACUUCAGGAUUUCUCACACUUGAAACACUUCUUGGAACUCAGACGACAUACUGGUCAAACCACAAGGCACAUUCCCAUUGGUGUGGGCAUGCCAGAUGCUGAUGCUGAGACGUUGGUGGCUGGGAGCCAUGAACAUGCCCACAGUAUCCAUAUUCUUCAUCAUCAUAGAAAGAACAGAGGGAAUGCCCCCGUGUACAGAGUUCUUGGCUCUUUUCUAAAAAUCCCAACUACCACCACAGCUUGGCAUUACCAGCUUUUCAAGUUUUCCAUCCCAAGGCUGCAAUCUCUACCUCAGGUUUACAAUGAGGACUAAAGCAAAGGCAGAAGAAACCAAAGUCAUAGAACAUCUGAACUCUGUCCAAACUUCAGCUAUAUUUUAAAAUUUCAGAUUGAGAGAAGCUUAGCUCAUCAGCUAAGUGAAUAGAUCAAUUCUUUGUGAGAAGCAGACAACCCAGAGAAAUAAAGACCUGGUAAAGUCACUGAUUUAGAUUGUUCUUCAGAGAUGAAGAGUUGGAAUGCAG